UCUGCUGGUAUGGGUUAGUGUUUAGGUGGGUUAUUGGGUUUGUGGGUAUUGGGUUCUUUUGUUAGUGGGCCGGGCAGAAAUUGGGUUUGUACAGCUGCCCCUCUUUGCUCGUUGUCGUGUCACGAUAACAGAGCAAAGACUAAGAAAGACCAAUUUUUGCCCAGUCUUUGCCGAGUAUUGACUUCUCUUGACGCUUCUUUUCAAGUAACUUUAUUCUAGUCCACUGUGUCUUGUUGCGUCGACCCACUCCACUGUAACUUCCAAAAGACAAAACUUGUAGCUUCAAUCCACUCUAUUGUAGCUUCAGGGGGUAAGGUCCAUCAUUUUGACCCGCUCCACUGCAAC
rnacentral:lncRNA from 1 species